rnacentral:rRNA from 1 species
UACGAAGGGGGCUAGCGUUGCUCGGAAUCACUGGGCGUAAAGCGCGCGUAGGCGGAUUGUUAAGUCAGGGGUGAAAUCCUGGAGCUCAACUCCAGAACUGCCUUUGAUACUGGCGAUCUCGAGUCCGGGAGAGGUGAGUGGAACUGCGAGUGUAGAGGUGAAAUUCGUAGAUAUUCGCAAGAACACCAGUGGCGAAGGCGGCUCACUGGCCCGGUACUGACGCUGAGGUGCGAAAGCGUGGGGAGCAAACAGG